AGAUGUGAGGGCAAUCUGGGUGCAACAUUUGUCAUCCUAUUGAUUGCCACAGUUGUUGAGUGGUCUUCUUCCUCCCUCACUAUCCAUGGGCAUCCCUCCUGAAGCUGGACACUUGUUGGAAGUGGAUGACCAUCCCAGAUAGGAGAGUUCCAGUUUUUGGUUAAGGAUAUAUAACAGCUACACUCCUGUUAGAACCUCCAAACAAACUCCAAACAAGUUCAGCAACCAUUCAUAGGACAGUAGCUAUCUUUCAGUCUUCUCACAGAAAAGCUGUUAUACAAUACUAUGCCAACCUU
ensembl:misc_RNA 7SK 7SK RNA